UUUAGGAGCAAGUGUUCUUGGGGUAUGUUCACUGAAGGAUGAACCAGAGCAACAAAGAAUGAUUUUUCUCUCGACAUUCAGCCAAUUUACAUCCAAGGAGAGCAGGUGGGGAGAUGUGAUGCAUAAAGGACGCAGAAAUUUAAAUCUGAGUGAGUGAUAGUAAGACUUUCCAAAGUGAAGAGUUGGAAUGUAGAAAUUAAAUAAUCUUGGAGAAAUAUAAGCAGGAUGGGAAGUGUUUGACCCAAAGAGCAAUAGAGGAUGCACAUAUCUAUCUCUGCAGACAAUAAAUAAGUCCAUUCUGAUGGAUGCAGGAAUGAAUGUGGAUGCUUCAAAAGAAAAUGAAUUCCACUGUGAGACGGGCAAGAGGGUAAUUAAAACCCAUGAAGUUGAAGACACCAGAAGUUGAGCAACUAAAGUGGGCCAG
rnacentral:lncRNA from 1 species